AGUGAACGCUGGCGGUAGGCCUAACACAUGCAAGUCGAACGGCCGCACAGUAAGAGCUUGCUCUUACGGGUGGCGAGUGGCGGACGGGUGAGGAAUACAUCGGAAUCUACUUUUUCGUGGGGGAUAACGUAGGGAAACUUACGCUAAUACCGCAUACGACCUACGGGUGAAAGCAGUGGAUCUUCGGACCUUGCGCGACUGAAUGAGCCGAUGUCGGAUUAGCUAGUUGGCGGGGUAACGGCCCACCAAGGCGACGAUGCGUAGCUGAUCUGAGAGGAUGAUCAGCCACACUGGAGCUGAGACACGGUCCAGACUCCUACGGGAGGCAGCAGUGGGGAAUAUUGGACAAUGGGCGCAAGCCUGAUCCAGCCAUACCGCGUGAGUGAAGAAGGCCUUCGGAUUGUAAAGCCCUUUUGUUGGGAAAGAAAAGCAGCAGGUUAAUACCCCGCUGUUCUGACGGUACCCAAAGAAUAAGCACCGGCUAACUUCGUG
rnacentral:rRNA from 1 species